rnacentral:rRNA from 1 species
AGUGAACGCUGGCGGUAGGCCUAACACAUGCAAGUCGAACGGCAGCACAGUAAGAGCUUGCUCUUACGGGUGGCGAGUGGCGGACGGGUGAGGAAUACAUCGGAAUCUACUUUUUCGUGGGGGAUAACGUAGGGAAACUUACGCUAAUACCGCAUACGACCUACGGGUGAAAGCAGGGGAUCUUCGGACCUUGCGCGAUUGAAUGAGCCGAUGUCGGAUUAGCUAGUUGGCGGGGUAAAGGCCCACCAAGGCGACGAUCCGUAGCUGGUCUGAGAGGAUGAGCAGCCAAACUGGAAAUGAGACACGGUCCAGACUCCUACGGGAGGCAGCAGUGGGGAAUAUUGGACAAUGGGCGAAAGCCUGAUCAAGCCAUACCGCGUGGGUGAAGAAGGCCUUCGGGUUGUAAAGCCCUUUUGUUGGGAAAGAAAGGCAGCAGGUUAAUACCCCGCUGUUCUGACGGUACCAAAAGAAUAAGCACCGGCUAACUUCGU